rnacentral:rRNA from 1 species
UGGGGAAUAUUGGGCAAUGGGGGAAACCCUGACCCAGCAACGCCGCGUGAAGGAAGAAGGCCUUCGGGUUGUAACAUUCUUUUAUCAGGGAGCGAAGGACGUGACGGUACCUGGAGAAAAAGCAACGGCUAACUACGUGCCAGCAGCCGCGGUAAUACGUAGGUUGCGAGCGUUGUCCGGAUUUACUGGGUGUAAAGGGCAUGUAGGCGGAGAAGCAAGUUGGGAGUGAAAUCUAUGGGCUCAACCCAUAAACUGCUCUCAAAACUGUUUCCCUUGAGUAUCGGAGAGGCAAGCGGAAUUCCUAGUGUAGCGGUGAAAUGCGUAGAUAUUAGGAGGAACACCAGUGGCGAAGGCGGCUUGCUGGACGACAACUGACGCUGAGGCGCGAAAGCGUGGGGAGCAAACAGGAUUAGAUACC